AUGUCAUAACCAUUGUCCACCAAAGAGCAGCACUGAGCAGAAAUAACACGGCUCCUGUUCAUUCUCCAUCAGUGAGGGGCCGGUGCUGGACACUGUGUAGGGACGCGGGAAUGCAAAGUCAUACACAUGACUGUGACUGAUGCACUAUCCCCAGGACAUGGAGUAGCAUUUCCGGACCUACAGCAAGACGUUGGAUGAAGGCAUAGCCCCAGAAAUAACACUGGUCCUGUUCAUCAGUGAGGGGCCGGUGCUGGACACUGUGUAGGGACACGGGAAUGCAAAGUCAUGCACAUGACUGUGACUGAUGCACUAUUUCCAGGACAUGGAGUAGCAUUUCGAGACCUACAGCAAGACGUUGGAUGAAGGCACAGGCCUAGGAAUCAUGCACAUACACAGAAACAUUUGCCCAAAUUCUAGAGGUAACCUCCUUUAGUAUGCCCAGAGGAAGGGCCAUACAGUAGCCAUGGAUUCCCUACAGGUUUCCUCCCCUCUGGAGGUUUUUCCUGUCCUGAGUAUUAGUUACUGUACGCUCUUUGUGAGUGAUGGGAGGUUACAAAAAAUCCCCUACACAAACAUUUUAAUAAAUAAUAAAUAAAGUUCCCCUUUUUUUAAACUGUUC